rnacentral:rRNA from 1 species
UACGAGGGGUGCAAGUGUUAUUCAGAAUCAUUGGGCGUAAAACGCAUGCAGGCUGUUGAUAAAGUUCAAAUUUAAAUGCCUUGGGUGACCAAGGCCUCGUUUGAAAACUGAUCGACUAGAGUCGCUCAAAGAGUAGUGGAACUUCCAGAGGAGAGGUUAAAUUCAUAGAUCCUGGAAAGAACGCCAAUGGCCAAGGCAACUAUUUAGGUGAUGACUGACGCUGAUGUGCGAAAGCGUGGGGAUCAAACAGG